rnacentral:rRNA from 1 species
CAGUAGCCACGGUAAUACGAAGGGGGCUAGCGUUGUUCGGAAUUACUGGGCGUAAAGCGCACGUAGGCGGAUUGUUAAGUUAGGGGUGAAAUCCCAGGGCUCAACCCUGGAACUGCCUUUAAUACUGGCAAUCUAGAGUCCGAGAGAGGUGAGUGGAAUUCCGAGUGUAGAGGUGAAAUUCGUAGAUAUUCGGAGGAACACCAGUGGCGAAGGCGGCUCACUGGCUCGGUACUGACGCUGAGGUGCGAAAGCGUGGGGAGCAAACAGGAUUAGAUACCCCCGUAGUCCCUGUCUCUUAUAC